GGGGAAACGACUCACUCGGACCGGUCGUAUUCGCUUUGGACGUCUGCCUUUCAAUUCAUGUCCACUCUCCACUCAUUGAACUCAAAGACGUAUUAUCCAGUUGGACACGAGCUGGAGCAUAAAAACUGCAUGCUGCUUUUCCAUGUUUGGUUCUGGGGAUGCAGCGACUUGAACCAGAAGAUCUGAGUGGGUCACCAAUGCCCGUCUCCAGCUGUCACUUUGGCAAUAAGCAGGGAACACCCUGGACAGAUCACCAGACCAUCGCAGGACGACACAGAGACACACUGGACAACCAACCCUCUGGCAGCAGGGCAGAGGUUACCUCUCACCUCCAAUAAGUACAA